UACGUAGGUGGCAAGCGUUGUCCGGAAUUAUUGGGCGUAAAGCGCGCGCAGGUGGUUUCUUAAGUCUGAUGUGAAAGCCCACGGCUCAACCGUGGAGGGUCAUUGGAAACUGGGGAACUUGAGUGCAGGAGAGAAGAGUGGAAUUCCACGUGUAGCGGUGAAAUGCGUAGAGAUAUGGAGGAACACCAGUGGCGAAGGCGACUCUUUGGCCUGUAACUGACACUGAGGCGCGAAAGCGUGGGGAGCAAACAGG
rnacentral:rRNA from 1 species